UCUCCCCCCGUAUGAUACUCCUCCUCUCUUCUCCUCUAUCAAUCUCUCCCCCACUAGAGUUUUGAUGCCAUAACUCCGCGGCUUAUUAUUCAUUGAAAAUGAUUGUAUUUCGUGGACUAAGCGGCGUAGAUUCGUAGACUUUGAGAAAUCCUAAAUUGAGAUUGAAAGGUUAAAUCGACGUAGAUCCGGCUUCUGAAAACCCUAAAUCGAGCCAACAGGGGUUGCCACACUGCAACUAUUUCAAAAAUGGCAGAUAGCGAUAGCGGCCAUGAAAAAGAAAAAGAAAUUGAGAUGUUAAGGAAGGAGGAAAAGCUUCAGAAAAAACAAAUAGCCAAAGAGGUUCGAAGAAGAGAGGAAGAGAUUCAAAGAAGAGAGGAAGAGGUUCGAAGUUGGAUGGAAGAGAUUUGAAAUUGGAUGGAAGAGAUUCGAAAAAGAGAGGGCGAACUUGUCAAGAGGGAUUUGGGAGUCCAGCGUCAAUGCACAAAUGUUUGGCUCUAUUGUAUAAUUUGUAUCCUACUUUAUUUGUACUUCUCACGAUCGUAGUGAAUACCCACUAAUCUGGGCAACUUCGUGUAUAAAGCUUAUCACUUGUGAUAAUAUGUGCUUUAGAGUAGCUGUAGUCCAACAGUCUACAAAAUUUGUUGAACAAGUCUUUAUUCUGUAUUUUGGAAGAGUUGGGUCAGUUCUUUUGAAAAAGUAGGCAACUGACUUACAACUGAUCUUGGACACUGCUGAUUGUGUUUUUGGGCAUUAGUUCAUUGAAGCUAAUUUAUUAUAGAACAUUUGGAAA